CAAGGCUUUAGAUAUUCUCCUUAAGGAUCUAAAAGUCUUUUUUCCCGGGCACGAAGAUCUGUUUAAUGAAAUGACUCAGCUUUUGACAGUCAACGAUAUAAGGGAGCAUGCAUCACUUUCAACGUAUGGAGAUGCAAAUUCUGUGAGGAAAAUUGUUGCAGAUGGUAUUAUAAAACUCGUUGAGGAAAAUCCUCAGUUACAUGGAAAAUUGAAGUUUCCUACCUUUAGAAAACAGAGAUUAUAUUAUCUUCUGAACCAAAGUUUGAAUUGGCAACAUAAAGUUUGUAAAGAUCCACUUGGAGUUUCUGACAUGAAAACCUUUCUGAUGGACCGUGUUAGCGGGUCGAGCUUGAACCCUUCAUCUUUGCAAUCAGAAGGCAGUGAUUCAAUUGAAAACUUGCAAUCUGAAACUACAAUGGAGGAUCAUAAUGUAUUAUCACUGCAGGGAAGACCCUCCCAGGUGUCAAAGGAGAAUGGGUAUGGAAAA
rnacentral:sRNA from 1 species